rnacentral:rRNA from 1 species
AUCCAACCUUCCCUAUAGUAGAGGAUAGCCCGGCGAAAGUCGGAUUAAUACUCUAUGUUUUUCCGAAGCAGACAUCUAAUUUGGAACAAAGGUUCACCGCUAUAGGAUGGGGAUGCGUCUGAUUAGGUUGUUGGCGGGGUAACGGCCCACCAAGCCUACGAUCAGUAGGGGUUCUGAGGGGAAGGUCCCCCACAUUGGAACUGAGACACGGUCCAAACUCCUACGGGAGGCAGCAGUGAGGAAUAUUGGUCAAUGGGCGAGAGCCUGAACCAGCCAAAGUAGCGUGCAGGAUGACGGCCCUAUGGGUUGUAAACUGCUUUUAUACGGGGAUAAAGUGAGGGACGUGUCCCUUUUUGUAGGUACCGUAUGAAUAAGGACCGGCUAAUUCCGUGCCAGCCGCUGC